ensembl:lncRNA
GCUUUGGAGCAGCACAUACAUUACCUGUCAGCUGUAGCCAAUCCCCACUGGUUUCUCUGUCAAGGCCUUAGAGGAGCAUCACCUCACUCUUUUCCUUCCUGCUACAAAGUGCCUCACUGCUGUUUCCAAGUCAAUAGCAGCAGCAGACCAACCAGUGUCACCAGUUGCUUUCCAGCCUACAGGCAGAGUGCUCCAUCUGCACAGGGAAGCAGUGGACACUCCUGACACUCUGGCAGCAGGGAGCAGAGCUGUGGCUGCUGAAAGCCCAGGCACCACUGCAACACUUCUUCAGAAGUGGUUUUCCACACGCAGCGCUGCAGGAGAGCGCUGUGGGGUCUGUGCACAUAUCCUCUGUGUGUGUGUUAAUUUUUGGCAGCUGCAUAGCAUUUUGAACCAAAGGAUGCUGAUAAUGCCCUUUAUGUUGCUGUUGACUUUGGAUAAAUGGGUGAGUUAUCUAAGAGAUGACAGUGAAGCUCACGGGUGAUGCAUUGAUGGCACCUACCCAUACUUACGAGGAACUGCUCAUCGUGCCUGCACUAAAGGCUCUGUCAUGUUCCCUCUCAUGGGGUCUAGCUGAUGGGUGUUAAACAGAAUUAACUUCAGCCACAUCUAAAUAGCUGCUCCUUGGCCAAGAUGGGUACCUCAGAGAGAUUCUCACUGUAAAUUUUUUGUCUUAUUUUCAUUAAGCUGCUAAAAAAACCAACGUGAAUGAAAGACUGGAUGAAAAGGACUGUGCAACUUAACCGCUGGUGGGAUUCAUUGCUGGUGAGAUGGAAAUGGCUGCUGACAGAGCUCAGUGUCACCAGUGGUCGUUGUGCUGCAGUGGCACACAAAAACACUGCCUUCUAUCUGGCUGCUCAAGGUCUGCUGCUUCAGAUACAAAAACCUCACUUCAAAUUUUCUGCACAGAGCUGAACAGGUCAAGCGUUUCUCACUUGAGAUUCUUCUCUGUAGCUUCAGUUAAGACCUCAGAAACCUACCCUAACUAAAUUCAUUUGUAUGGCACUUACCUUGGACAUCCUCCAGCAACCAGAGAAAGCAGCUCUUCAAAAUGUGUGGAGGAAGCCACCAGAUCAUGCUGUAUCAGGACAAAGAUCAGGAAGCAUCAUGCAUCAGCAGCCUGGGAAAAGUAUCACCAUCUGCAGAAGAUAAAUGUAUGAAUCUACAUCAGUGAUGAAAGUGUAACCUACACCCCAAUGAGGCCUGGCCAUGUACAGAGGCAUGAGCAGAUGCUCCAUGCAACAGACAGCGAGCUUUCCCUUCCUGACCUCAGCUUGGCACAGAGCACAGGCAGGCCCAGAGCUCAGUGGAUUCCAGGCCAGCUCUGUGCAGAUCAGCCCUGCACUGGGGAACACAGCUGCAGAUGGUUUCGGGACAAGCCCAGCUG